rnacentral:lncRNA from 1 species
UGGAGAUUUGGCACCUUUAAAAUGAGAGUCGAGUUUCCUGAAUUUGAGAAAAUUGCAGGGGUCAGCCCAUCCUGAGUGCAAUGGAUAAGCCUCACUCUGGAGAAACCAUUUUUGUGAUCAUGGAAUCACCCCUGCCAGGUUACUAUGUCUCAGCUAUUCAAAUCAGUCAGUUCCCGUUGAGUGUCAGUGAAGCAGAUCACAUGGAUAUAAUAGUAGCUGUUCAUCACAUGCAAGGUAUUUCUGGCUUCCAACUUUGAGAUAGAAGAUAGACAAUGACAGUACCACUUCAAGUUGCUGGAGAAAAAAAUUGUGGGAAAAAUCCAACACAAGAGUCAUUGACAGUCUCCAUCAUAUUCAAGUCUGCAGUUUGCUGUGAUAGACACUUUGGGUAACUUUUCUACAAGUGAGAUUUAGGACUGUCUUUAUUUUGGUUGAUAUGCUUCCUCUCUCUCAAAGGAAGUACGUCUUCACUAUGAACUUUCUUUGUGAAUUUUCUCAAAUUCCAGGCAGAAGAG